GGUGUUCCAUUCGCCGGCCCGAGCGCCUAUAUUAGGGGUGCCGGGCAACCGGCUAUGGCGCUACACGGAUACGUGGAAUAAGCGCAGCGGACCCGGGGGCAGUACCCGGCGCCUCCACCAGAGUUUCGAUUGCCGAAGCGGGCCCCGUGCCCGGUCCCGGCCCGUCAUGGGGGCGAAACAGGAUCGACGCGCGCAGUAAAGACGUAUCCGGCGCCCGGCAUGGUACCGCCGUUAUCGGGCCACAACGAUAGUUGCCAACGACAACUAUGGUGAGGCUCGCCUCGCCGCGUAAUCGCGGCUGGUAAGCCAAAAUCAAGCCCUCGGCCUUCACACGCCGAGGCGGGGUUCGGGGCGCACCUGGCAACAGAAGCGCCCCACG
rnacentral:tmRNA from 1 species